rnacentral:lncRNA from 1 species
CUUUAAUUGUGAAGGAAGAGUAAACAAGAAUUUUUUUACUGUCAUCCCCAGGAGUUCUGAUGUGGAUUCAGACCGAGGUGCAGAAAAGAAAAAGGAGCGACACCACAGCAGCGACAGCGAGCGCAGCCUGUGCACGGAGCGAAGCCACAAGAAUGGAAGCGGCGAAGGAAAGGGAGAGUCGCAACGACGUUACUCGCAUGAAAAGGACUGUAAAUCUGAGAGCAGCUUUCCACCUGGAAGACGUCCACGUAAAGAUGACAUCUCCCUCACUUCUGUGUCACUCACUAAUGGUUCAACUCACCGACACCUCAAUGGACACACAGGACAUGAAUCACAGUCGAACCAGGAGCUACGCCCAAACUGCGCCUCCAACACAGACUCUAAAUAACAAACAUUUUUGACAGCGGUGAAAGAAUGACAACUUUCUCCACCUGGUGCUUCUCCAUUUGGACUUUAAUGUAUUUGUGUAUUUGGGGCGACCGUGGCUCAGGUGGUAGAGGGGUCGUCCUCUGGUCAAGAGGCUGGGGGUUCCAUCUUGGUCUAUACCGGUCUGUGUUGAAGUGUCCUUGGGCAAGACAUUGAACCCAAGUUGCUCCCAGUGGUUGACUAGCGCCUUGCAUUGGAGGUCUGUCCCAUUGUUGUGUGAAUGAGCUGAGACGGAAAGCACUUUGUGACCUCUGUCUGUGAAAGGUGGCUAUUAAAAUACAUUUAAUGUGUUUUAGCAUUCAACAAUACAUUUUUGUGGCAACUUUAAGGUCUAAAAGUGAAACUUUGGCUUUGAACAUUUAUGAAACAAAUCCUAAUAUAUACCUGUAUGGACAUAAAGCCUCGGAGCUUCCAACAUCUCAACUGCUGCUCAGUUGAACUCAGGACAAAAGAAAACUUGGUUACACAUCCCUUCAAUGAUAUUUUCCACCUGCUUCAAGGACCGAAGGAGCCAGAAAUUUAAAAAAAAAAAGUUGAAACUAUGUUUUGAAAGAUGUUUUUAAUUCACUUUGUUGACUUUUUUAAGCCCACUGAGAGCGAUCACACUAGCCAGUGCAGAGGUAGGAGCAUGGUGGCUCUCUGAUACCUCCAUGUAAACCCUGGACAGACUUGAGGACAUUUCCCAGCUCAAUGUUUUAAUGUUUCUCUGAAGCCUAAGAGUCACCUGUCAUUUUAAAAUUUUCUUUUGGCAGAGGUUUUCCACUCGGCCGCGCUCUGCCCUUUUAUUUCAUUUUAAUUAUGCACAAAGAAAAAUGUCCAAACUAUAUUAAUGGCUGUGGACCAUUUGUUAGCUUUUAAAUGACAAAUACAAUUUGUGUCUUCUAGCAUCAUAUAGAAAAACAACUGUGAAUAUGAUUUUAAACUGUACUAUCAGUUACUUUUAUAUGUUUUUAAAAAAGUCCUGUAUCAGGAUUC